rnacentral:rRNA from 1 species
UACGGGAAGGGCAAGCGUUAUCCGGCGUGACUGGGCGUAAAGAGUCCGUAGACGGUAAAGUAAGUUUAUUGUUAAAUAUUAAAACUUAAUUUUAAUAGAGCAAUAAGUACUGCUUUACUUUGAGUUUAAUAUAGAAAAGUAGAAUUUUAUAUGGUAGGGGUGAAAUCCAUAGAUAUAUAAAGGAAUGUCAAUAGCGAAGGCAACUUUUUUGGUAUAAACUGACGUUGAGGGACGAAAAGUGUGGGGAGCAAACAGG